rnacentral:rRNA from 1 species
CCUACGGGAGGCAGCAGUAGGGAAUCUUCCACAAUGGGUGAAAGCCUGAUGGAGCAACGCCGCGUGGGUGAAGAAGGUCUUCGGAUCGUAAAACCCUGUUGUUAGAGAAGAAAGUGCGUGAGAGUAACUGUUCACGUUUCGACGGUAUCUAACCAGACAGCCACGGCUAACUCCGUGCCAGCAGCCGCGGUAAUCCUUAGUUGGCAAGCGUUAUCCGGAUUUAUUGGGCGUAAAGGGACAGCAGGCGGUCUUUUAAUUCUGAUGUGAAAGCCUUCGGCUUAACCGGAGUAGUGCAUUGGAAACGGGGAGACGUGAGUGCAGAAGAGGAGAGUGGAACUCCAGGUGUAGCGGUGAAAUGCGUAGAUAUAUGGAAGAACACCAGGGGCGAAAGCGGCUCUCUGGUCUGUAACUGACGCUGAGGUUCGAAAGCGUGGGUAGCAAACAGGAGUAGAUACCCUAGUAGUC